CAGGAAUGCGGGUUGGACAUGAUGUCUUUCCUCACCUCCAGAUUUUGUUUUAUUCUGAUAAAGAAAAACAGAGAAAGGAAUUUGGAGGGGAGUGGGAGACGUGUAAAAAGGUGACAGGCGAUAAUAUAUCGUAUUGCAUAACCUGUGGAUUCUUGUCCUCAAUGCAACUGAAUUAUGUAUAUUGUAAACACGGGUGUCAGAUAAACACAGGUAUCAGAUGAAAUAAAUGUCUGAAAGAAUGUCAUGCUGAUAUUCAUCACAGGUGGGAGGUUAAGACAUUUAAGAUGGUAUAAAAUGAAAUAGCACUACAAGCAAGUAUUACACAUCAAAGU
rnacentral:lncRNA from 1 species